UACGGAGGGUGCUAGCGUUGUUCGGAAUUACUGGGCGUAAAGAGCUUGUAGGCGGCUUGCUCAGUCUGAUGUGAAAGCCCCCGGCUCAACCGGGGAAGUGCAUUGGAUACUGGCGAGCUUGAGUAUGGGAGAGGAGAGCGGAAUUCCCGGUGUAGAGGUGAAAUUCGUAGAUAUCGGGAGGAACACCAGUGGCGAAGGCGGCUCUCUGGACCAAUACUGCCGCUGAGAAGCGAA
rnacentral:rRNA from 1 species